UCUCUGAUAAAAGGCACCCAUAUUUAUGUCUGUGACAUUAAUCCAAAUAUGCUAAAUGUUGGGAAAAAGCGUGUUGCAGAAAGAGGUCCCGAGCAUGAACUUUUCUAAUAGAUUUUGUUGCCUCUGUCUCAAGUGUGGGUUAUGUUGUUCAACAGUUGGUUUUUAUUUCCAGGUUAUAGCAAAGAACAUUGUCUUAGCUGGAUACAAGGAGAUGCAGAAGCUCUGAGUUUUGAGGAUGGAUCUAUGGAUGGUUACACUAUCGCAUUUGGGAUCAGAAAUGUGACGCACAUUGAGAAAGCUCUAUCAGAAGCUUAUAGGUCGGCUAAUUUAGAACCCUAACAAUUAUUAUUGCUCAUGUUUAAAUUAUUACUGUUUGAACUUCAGUAUAUGUGUCUAUUCUUCGUGAUUAAGUUUUUUUGUCUUCGUGUGCAGUAUCAUGGAUUAAGCUUUUUUAUAUUUUACCAUGUUUGUUUAGUUGAUGGUUCUGAAAUGUCAUUACUGUCAUAUCAAUUGGCAUAUUUCAAAAUCUUUUUUGCUUAGUUGAUGGUUCUAAAGCAAGGGUGGAGGUUCCUAUGCUUGGAGUUGAGUCAUGUGGAUGUCCCUAUUUUUAAAUAGAUUUAUGAUGCUUACUCGUUUUCUAUGAUUCCGGCUAUUGGAGAGCUGGUUGAUGGUGAUCGGCAGAUAGAAGACGGGCAACAUGCUAACCAGGCCUGUGAACCUUGAACCUUGGCAGGAAAAGUUUGCUCAGAUGAUUCAGGAAGCCGGAUUCCAGAGGGUGGAAUAUGAAAACCUCCUGAGCGGUGUAGUUGCCAUUCAUUCUGGACUGAAACUGUAGAGCUGAAUACGGAUGAAUGUUUUUUCAUGGGUACACCGCUUCUACAAUUAGUAGUAUUUGUUGUUUUUUAAUGAAUUCUAUAAUAGGUUCGGUGGCUUGUAAAAGCAGCUGGUGCUGGCUGUCAGCAUCAGCACAAUAUGUAGAAUAAGUAGUAUUUGCGAGAAGUAUGUGCUAGAGCAGUAGCGUCAGUGGCUAUUUUGGCUUUUAAGCCAGCUGACCUCUUCCAUUUGUAAAGCUUUUUCUUGGAAACGUGAAACCAUCCAGAACAUCAAAUUAGUCUUAUCACA